AGUAACGCGUGGGUAACCUGCCCUUAAGUCUGGGAUACCAUUUGGAAACAGAUGCUAAUACCGGAUAAAAGCUACUUUCGCAUGAAAGAAGUUUAAAAGGCGGCGUAAGCUGUCGCUAAAGGAUGGACCUGCGAUGCAUUAGCUAGUUGGUAAGGUAACGGCUUACCAAGGCGAUGAUGCAUAGCCGAGUUGAGAGACUGAUCGGCCACAUUGGGACUGAGACACGGCCCAAACUCCUACGGAAGGCAGCAGCA
rnacentral:rRNA from 1 species